rnacentral:rRNA from 1 species
AUGUCCACUGGAUUUGUCAUACUCGAUGAACAGGGAAAUCCAUAUCCUGAUGAUGUACCUUGUUCUGGAGAAGUGGGUCUCUUCCCUUUAUAUUUUGGUGCCACCGAUCGGCUUCUCAAUGCUGACCAUGAUAAGGUUUACUUCGAUGGAAUUCCCGUUUACAGAGGACGCCAACUCCGACGACACGGAGAUAUAAUCCAGAGGACAGUAGGUGGUUACUAUGUCGUACAGGGCAGAGCAGACGACACUAUGAAUCUCGGAGGGAUUAAGACAAGUUCAGUGGAGAUUGAACGGGUUUGUAAUGGAGCCGACGAGGGUUUGCUAGAAACAGUAGCUGUUAGCGUCAAACCUUCCGGCGGGGGACCAGAACAACUGGCUAUCUUGGCAGUGCUGAAAGAUGGAUCCGCAACAUACGAUGCAAAUCUUCUGAAGGCAAAGUUCCAGAGAGCUAUCCAGAGGAACCUCAAUCCCCUUUUCAAGGUGAGCUACGUCAAAGUCGUCCCCGAGUUCCCGAGAACCGCUUCGAACAAGCUGCUGAGAAGGGUCCUGGCCCAGCGCGCUCUAUUCCCUUUCUUGAGUUUGAUAUUUUUAUAA